ACUCAAAUGAAUUGACGGGGGCCCGCACAAGCGGCGGAGCAUGUGGCUUAAUUCGAUGCGACGCGAAGAACCUUACCUGGGUUUGACAUGCACGGAAAUCUCGUAGAGAUACGGGGUCCUUUGGGGUCGUGUACAGGUGGUGCAUGGCUGUCGUCAGCUCGUGUCGUGAGAUGUUGGGUUAAGUCCCGCAACGAGCGCAACCCUUGUUCCAUGUUGCCAGCGCGUGAUGGCGGGGACUCAUGGGAGACUGCCGGGGUCAACUCGGAGGAAGGUGGGGAUGACGUCAAGUCAUCAUGCCCCUUAUGUCCAGGGCUGCACACAUGCUACAAUGGCUCAUACAGAGGGUUGCGAUGCUGUGAGGUUGAGCGAAUCCCUUAAAGUGAGUCUCAGUUCGGAUCGGGGUCUGCAACUCGACCCCGUGAAGUCGGAGUCGCUAGUAAUCGCAGAUCAGCAACGCUGCGGUGAAUACGUUCCCGGGCCUUGUACACACCGCCCGU
rnacentral:rRNA from 1 species